rnacentral:lncRNA from 1 species
GCCCUCCAGCGGGAGGAAGGGCCAGGGCCGCAUCCCUGAGCGGGGAGGUGGCACGGGGAGGACAGGAUGGGCGUUCCAGAGUGGCGUUGCCCAACUCGCUCUCUGUUUUAUUUUUAGUGUAAGGUAGUGCCUGGCGCAUGGUUGGUGCCCAGUAUUUGUCGGAAAAACAUGGGUGGCAAAGAACUUGGUCGCCGGAUCUCGAGGGCAAACUGCAGCCAUUGGAAGUCUUGAGCACAGAGAGAUACGUGGACGGGAAGGGCCAUAGAAUCCCAAUAUGGGGUUGGUGAGGGAGGAUUCUUGACUGAAAGGAUGUUCGCAGGUCUUGAGGGAAACUAGUCGUUAAGGCCUUUGAACAUGUCGCUAAGGAAUUUGAGAUAGGAUUGGAGUGGGGUUACCCUGGUGUUUGCUGAAGCAGUCCAGGGCGAGGAGCACUAAAUUUGAGAAGAGUGAAAAUAAGCGUUGAAGCUGCUGUUCUCAUGUUUGUUUUUCCGGGGGCCCAGUGAGAAUCAAGACCUUUGCUAUGUGUUCCUCAAGGUGUUGUCCGGAGCAUCUGGGUGUGUCAGAAAGUCCAGACUCUGACCUUAUAUGUUCAAGACUCAACCCUGCCAGCCCCUAGCUCUGUGGCCUUUGGGCUCUGUGACAGUUAAUUUUAUGUAUCAACUUGGCUGGGCCAUGGUGCCUAGAUAUUUGGUCAAACAUUAUUCUGGAUAUUUCUGUGAGGUUGUUUUUGGAGGUGAUUGACAUUUAAAUCAUUGGACUUUGAGUAAAGCCAAUUGCCCUCAUGAAUAGAACAAAAGACUGACCUCUCCAAGCAAAAAAAGGAAUUCUCCCAGCAGACAGCCUUUGGACACCCUUUUAUGGGUAUUCUUAAGAAUGGUUGUCUUAAAUUUAUCUCUUUGAAGUUGCAAGUUUAAAAAGAACAUAAGAUCAGAGGUUUACUUGACAAGAGCUGCAGUCCAAAUAUACGAGGUGGGGAGUUAGCAGGAUUAUCCAUGAAUUAGCCCAGGUCAGAAAGAAUCUGACAGAGGUAGGGGUCAUGUGAGGUCUCUUUACAAUUACCGCAAAUCAUGAAAGUACCCCCCAAAUCUUUAAACUUAAGGGUGGAACACAUGUUCUUUCCUUCUCUAUUAUCAAGCCAAAAUACAUAUCUUCCCACAAAGAUUCGUUACUUCUGUUUUAUCAAGCCAAAGAUACUUCCCACAAAGAGAUGGCCAGGAAAUUUUGAACUUUAAGAAGAUGAGAAAGGAGUUCCUGCUGUGGCACAGUGGAUUAAGAAUCCGGCUACAGUGACUCAGGUUGCUGCAGAGGCAUGGAUUUGAUCCCAGAGCCAGCUCAGUGGGUUAAAAAGUCUGGUGUUGCUGCAGCUACGGUGUAGGUCACAGCUGUGGCUUGGAUUCAGUCCCUGGCCCAAGAACUUCCAUAUGCUGUGAGUGUGGUCAUAAAAGAAAAUGAGAAGGAAUUAAUUAGGUGUAAUAACAGCAUUGUGGGUAUGUGAAGAAAUGUCACACUUCUCAUCAGAGAUGCACUCUAAAAGUAUAUGAGUAAAAUGACAUGAUGUCUAACUUGUGCUAAUACUUCAGCAAAGAAAAAGAGAAAUAAAAGGAUAGAAGAAGGAUAUAUGGCAAACACUUUGCACUUUGUUGAAUCUAUAUGAUAGGUUAUGAGGUUUAUUAUAUUAUUGUCCCCAGAUUUACAUAUUCUUAAAUUUUCAUAGACUUAAAUUUUACAUUUAAGUUUUUCAUAACAAGUAUUUAAAGUCAUAAAAAUGAGCUCUUUAUCUCUUAAUCUGGUUUACUCCCAAAAAUGAAAAAUAAAAAUGAUUUUACUUACACAAGGUCCAUCAUGUAGUUUAGUUAUGUUAAGCCCUUCAUAUCUGUAAGAAAUUGUAUUUUGAAAUAACUAUUUUUGCUCUAUGAUAUAUCGCAAAUUACUAAACUUUACUUGAUAAUCUUUGGCUAAGGAUGAGAAUGAAACAUUUGGCUAAUGGUUAAUUCUUAUUUAACUAAUAUUUUAAAAUAUCUACUAUACAUUUGUUUGUCAAAGGGAGUGAUGUAUAAAACAUAUACAUCAAGUUUUGGCCUGAAAUCAAAUAUAGAAAAUUCAAAAUAAUCUUGAAUAUUUAAGUAGAAAUAUAGAGUAUUAGACAGUGAAUUGCAGUAAAAUUAAAUUACACAUUUGAUGAAAGUUAAAGACAUUACCAUUGGCCUUACAGAAGUAAAAAUGAUUAUAAGGGAAUACUAUGAGCAAUUAUACAUCAACAAAUUAGAUAACCUAGGUGAAAUGGCCAAAUUCCUAGAAACACACAAAUUACCUAAACUGACUCAAGAAGAAAUAGGAAAUCUCAACAGCUCUAAAUCAAGAGAUCAAAUCAGCAAUAAUAAAAACCUAACAAAGAAAAGUUCAGGACAAAAUGGCUUUUUAGUGAAUUCUGUCAAACAUUAUUAAAGAUUUAAUGUUAAUCCUUAGAGUUCUCGCAUGGCACAGGGGGUUAAGGAUCUGGCAUUGUCAUUGCAGCAGCUUGGGUCACUGCUGCGGUGCAGGUUUGAUCCCUUACCCGACAACUUCCAUAUGCUACGAAUGGAGCUGAAAAAUAAAAUAAAAUAAAUAACACAAGUAAUAAAAGUUGACAAGGAUAUGGAAAAAAGGGAACCUAUUACACUGUUCGUGGGGAUGUAAAUUGGUGCAGUCACUGUGGAAAACAGUCUGGGGGGGUUUCUCUAAAAACUAAAAAUAGAAUUAUCAUAUGACCCAGCACUUCUACUCUGGGUAUAUAUCCAAAAAAAUCCCCCCCAAUGAUAUGAAAAGAUAAAUGUACCCCAACAUUCAUAGAAGCAUUAUUUACAAUUGCCAAGAUAUGGAAGCAACCUAAGUGUCCACAAAUAAAUGGAUAAAGAAGAUGUAUGUGUAUACAUAGGUAUACAAUGGACUACUAUUCAGUCAUAAAAAGAAUGGAAUUUUGCCAUGUGCAGCAACAUGGAUAGACUUGAAGGACAUUAUGCUAAGUAAAAUAAGUCAAAGAAAGACAUACUGUAUGAUAUCACUUAUAUGCGGAAUCUAAAAAAUACAGCAAACUAGUGAAUGAAACAAAAAAGAACACUCACAGAUACGAAAACACACUAGUGGUUACUAGUGAGGAGAGGAAAGAGGGAAGGGACAAAAAUGAUUAUUAUGGGAUUAUAUGAAAACAUGUAUGAAACUUUUGAAAAUUGUAAAAUAAAGCACUAUAGAAU